CAGCUGCACCAUAUAUGAUGGAAACAGGAAGAGUAUUGAACAGUGAUACUAUUCUGGAAAGAUGAAGGAAAGAAGAAAACAGGCCAGCAAAAGAGCUGAAACUGUAAAGAAAAUCCAAAUGGAAUUCAGAAAAUAUUCAAGAUUGGCUGAAACUGAAACUUUCCUCUGAAAUAAUUUACUGACUCCUCAUCUCAUUCAAAAUUUGUCACUCAGGCCACAUGGACUUGGAUGUUCCUCAACAGGAGUUCACUUGUAAUUUAUUACUGUAAUCAGAACAGCACUGGGGAGAAGGGAAACAAGCUGGCACAGUUAUUUGCGGUUUCCAAAGCUUCUGGCAGAGUCUGCCACAAAAAGCUGUUUAACAAGACAUAUAGUUAUAGAUGGGAUGUAAAACGUUUUUAUAGAUUCAAAGCUAAGAGACAUGAAACAAAGCAGGAAGACAAAUGACUGCUUUUGAGCUUGGUUAAAGCUCAACAGCAGCUACUGCUGAAGGCUGUGUCAGAUCUGGCUUUUCUUCCUGAAUUCAUUAAUACUCCUCCACCCCAUCCUCACUGCAAACAACAAGAACAAAAAAGCAGCAAUCAGUAAGAUGGGAACUUCUGUACAUCCUUUAGGUUGUCCAAGACAAGACAAAGCCAAGAUGGAGUUCACAGUGUGGUCACUGGGUGACUCCAUCACCAGUUUAAUUCAGCACUGGUAAAUUUAGUGCAACAUAAUAUGCACUAAAAUCAGACAUUCAGUGAUGAAUAGUAGAACGAAACACGAUCACAUGAAGAAAGGUGUGGAUAGUGCUCAAGGCCAGGUGGUGAAAACCUUGGUUCAUUGCAAAAUAGUGACUGACUGAUGAGGAAGAAUUGAAAGGGCAAUAGACUACAACGGCAAACAGCAUGCAGGACUACAAGAGCAGAAACACCUGCAGCAGUGCAGACAUUGUGCCACAUGUCUGCAUGAGCCACCAGAAUCUGGACAACUUUUUUACAGGACUUCUUUUUCAACAUAGAUUUAAGUUAUUGAGGAAAAGGUGUAGCAAAGGAUGACUUGAAAUGCAAAUCCCACUAGAAUUUUAUUCCAGCUCAUUUAAUAGACGGAAGCACAGGUCCUUCUCCAGAAGUCCACUGGAGACUGAAAAACAGAUAUAUGAUUGCUUUUUCAAAGUGUAUUUCAAAUGAUUCAUCAAAGAAAUAAUUUGAACAGCAAUGAUCUGUGGUUAAAACACCAUACUUUUGGAUUGUUCUACAGCGCAGGAGGUUUCCGAGGACAGGCUCAUAGUGAUGUUUCUGUGGCUGUCAACUUUUUCACUCCUUUCCCCAUAUUCUUUCUGUGCAACACCUGCCUUUCUCUUUGUUUUCACUUUUGUUUUAAAUAAGCAACAUCGUGAAGGAUCGCACUGAAUAGGGGAGUGCAAGGACUUUCAAUAAUUUCAUGCUCAACCCCACCUCCUCCAACCAAAACCCUUAAUCAAAGGCUCUGGUAGCCAACGGGCCUGACCCUCCAAGUCUUGCAUUGUUUCUUGCAGGAAAUGAACAUUCUUGGUUACAGGGUGUCAAAGUCACACCAGCACUUAAAUUUCAGGAUGGAUUGAAAAUUUACUUUCACCAAACCUCUUUGGUUAACUAUUUUGACAUCUUUCAUUGCAAGCAUAACAUCAAUUUUCCUGAAAGCUUGGUAAUACAAAUUAACAUUGCUCAGAUUUUUUUUUUUUAAAUUUAAAUUUCUUUUUUUUAAAAGAUUGAAAUAUCACCAAAAAGUAAAAUAAUAAAACCCACAUUUUUGUAUAUUUUUAGGGAAAAGCUUCCUUUUCUGCCAAACUUAUGCUACACAGGGCUUAUAAAGAAAAUAUCUAUUCUGAAAAUUAUUUUUCUUUUUACUUUUCUGUCUUAAGAAACUUUGAACAGAAAAAUAUACUGCAAUUCAGUAUAUAUCCUAUAUACAUGCAUUAAUCAUAACCUUGUUGACUACCAGCAGGAAAGAUAAUUUUGUAUCAGCAAAAGUAAGAAAUUUGUCAUGUUUAGUAGUAGAAAUGUUCGUUAUUAUUUGCCUGUAUCAUGAAAUACUGUGGAGUGCAUUCAUUUAAAUAGAUUAAUUUCCUGUACUUUUUUUCACUGAUUUUGUAAUAAAGUGAUAUUUUUUGACCAUAAUGUUUUCAAAGAACUUAGGAACAUUAUAAAAAAUGGUUUUCACUGGCUUCUUCAUGAACAUCCACUCUUUAAAUGCAUGAGUUUUUCA